UACGUAGGGGGCAAGCGUUGUCCGGAUUUACUGGGCGUAAAGAGCGUGUAGGCGGCCACGCAGGUCCGUUGUGAAAACUGGAGGCUCAACCUUCAGACGUCGACGGAAACCGUGUGGCUAGAGUCCGGAAGAGGAGAGUGGAAUUCCUGGUGUAGCGGUGAAAUGCGCAGAUAAUCAGGAAGAACACCAAUGGCGAAGGCAGCUCUCUGGGACGGUACUGACGCUGAGACGCGAAAGCGUGGGGAGCGAACAGG
rnacentral:rRNA from 1 species